AACAUGCAGUCGAACGGCAGCGGGGGCUUCGGCCUGCCGGCGAGUGGCGAACGGGUGAGUAAUGCAUCGGAACGUGCCCAAGUCGUGGGGGAUAACUACGCGAAAGCGUGGCUAAUACCGCAUACGUCCUGAGGGAGAAAGCGGGGGAUCUUCGGACCUCGCGCGAUUGGAGCGGCCGAUAUCGGAUUAGCUAGUUGGUGGGGUAAAGGCUCACCAAGGCGACGAUCCGUAGCGGGUCUGAGAGGAUGAUCCGCCACACUGGGACUGAGACACGGCCCAGACUCCUACGGGAGGCAGCAGUGGGGAAUUUUGGACAAUGGAGGCAACUCUGAACCAGCCAUGCCGCGUGCAGGAAGACGGCCCUACGGGUUGUAAACUGCUUUUAUAUGGGAAGAAACCUUUGGACGUGUCCGAAGCUGACGGUACCAUAUGAAUAAGGGUCGGCUAACUCCGUGUCAGCAGCCGCGGUAAUACGGAGGACCCGAGCGUUAUCCGGAUUCAUUGGGUUUAAAGGGUGCGCAGGCGGAGGAGUAAGUCAGGGGUGAAAGCCGGCAGCUUAACUGUCGAAUUGCCUUUGAUACUGCUUUUCUUGAGUAUGGUUGAUGUGGGCGGAAUGUGGCAUGUAGCGGUGAAAUGCUUAGAUAUGCCACAGAACACCGAUUGCGAAGGCAGCUCACAAAGCCAUUACUGACGCUCAUGCACGAAAGCAUGGGGAGCAAACAGGAUUAGA
rnacentral:rRNA from 1 species